rnacentral:rRNA from 1 species
UACGUAGGGUGCGAGCGUUGUCCGGAAUUAUUGGGCGUAAAGAGCUUGUAGGCGGUUUGUCGCGUCUGCCGUGAAAAUUCGAGGCUCAACCUCGAACUUGCGGUGGGUACGGGCAGACUAGAGUGUGGUAGGGGAGACUGGAAUUCCUGGUGUAGCGGUGAAAUGCGCAGAUAUCGGGAGGAACACCGGUGGCGAAGGCGGAUCUCUGGGCCAUUACUGACGCUGAGGAGCGAAAGCGUGGGGAGCGAACAGG